GCACCGGAGGUUCAGUGGUAGAACGCUCGCCUUCCAUGCAGAAGACCAGGGUCUGAUUCCCAGCCAGUAUA
rnacentral:tRNA from 1 species